rnacentral:lncRNA from 1 species
AUAAGUUGGCCUGGACUGUAGGAAGAGAUUUUUGCAAUAUAUCACGACUGACAAAAAUGCUUAAAGGAUUAAUGACAUCUGGAUUCAUACAAGGGAAUGAAAUGAGCUAAAACAUGAACAUAUGAACCACUUUUCAAGUAAUGUUUCAUAGAAUCAACUAAAAGAGGUCAGGAACAGAGGAUACAUAGAUUUAUGAUAUUGUAAAGCCACUAAACCAUCUGAAUAAAGGAUAUAAAAUUCUUAUAUUCAUAAAGCAUACAAGGCACAGAAGUUGAAUGAACAAUUCCUACCUCAGCUACGCUUUGGUUAGAGUUUCUAGAUCUGUUCAUAUAACUUGAACCAUUUGUGACAAAACUUUGGUUGCAUGUAUUAGAUAAUACAACAUGCCAGUAAAGAGCACGCGUUCAUGGCUAAAACUAAGUCCUCAUUGCAAAAAAAGACAAAAGGUAAACGUCAGAUUUUCUCCUCUGCUCGGAACAAACUAUAGGUCAACUUUCUGCGACUGUGUAUCAUCAUUCUUCGACGAGAAGAGCCAGGUGAACAUUUGUAGUCAUGCUUCAGAUGAGGGGCAGCUAUUCUUUCCUGAAAAAAAGGGGAGAUAAAACUUCAACAAGAGAAAGCAAUCACUUCUAAAACUAAUUUCUGCCUAGAUACAAAUUCAUACCUUGAAAACUUCAAAUGGACAGAGGUUAGAAUUGCCGCAACCAUGUUCAUAGAGAGAAUGUAAAGCUUAACAUGUACUAACCCAAAAGGUAAAAUUAAAACAUUUAACAAGGGAUGACACAAAAGUUGAAAUUUCCUGAGCUACCAAAUCUCAUGAAAACAAACCAAGGAAAGGACAAUAAUAUUCCCCGAACUGUAGACAAAAACAAUGAAACACACAUCUCUAACAGGGGUUGGCUUCCUAUAAUUUCUAAAUUUUUCUCUUCUCACAUAUCAUUCUCUUUGGUUGUGUGAACAUGACUAUAUUUGAAACUGAUUAUCAAUAUAUAGAUAUACAUAAUAGUCAAAAAACGAUAAUUUAAAUCAGAAACUAGAAGAAAAUUUACUCCAUAUUCAACUAUUAGUCAAAGAAAGCUUACAGGCAUCGGAACAGGAUGUUCAUUGUGAAGUACUUGCACCAAAAAUCAGACACAUACAAAAAAUAAAAUAAAAAAACACAUACACAUACAAAAAUCAUACAGAGAAAAAAAAACUAAAAUCAGAAUAAAAAAAAAUAAUCAGAUAUCUAAUCAGUCAUCAGAUAUCUAAAAUACAUCAGAGAAAAAAUCAUACACAUACAAAAAAAAAUAAAAAAACACAUACACAUACAAAAAUCAUACAGAUACCUGAAUCAAAAAAAAUCAUACUCCUAUUUCAAAAAAAAAAAAACCUAUCAAAAAUCAGAUACAUACAAAAAAAUUUACAUAUACAAAAAAAAAUUACUAGUAUACAGAUCUCAGAUCUCAGAGUGCCGAAAUCAGAAAUCUCAAAUCUCAACUUACCGUCGGCGACUCGGCAGGCAUGUUGCGUGUUGCGUGUUGAGAGAGGGCAGGCCGGCAGGCGGCAGGGACGCAGUCACGCUCACGCAGGUCGCAGGUCGCACGUCGCACGUCGCAGGGUGAGCUUUAGCCCUUAAUGGAGGAGAAGGUGAAGAACGGAGUGACGGAGUGUAGAAACGAGAGAAGACUGAAGAAGAAACGAGAAUAGGAGAGAGAGUGAAGAACUCAGAACUGAAGACUAAAGAGUAAAGUUAAUAAAUAAAAAAGAUAGUUUAACUGUUAAAGACUUAAAGUACUAAAAGAGGUAAAGACGUAGUGAUUAAGUGAAUACAGUUCGGUUUUUUUUU